AGCAUAAUCAUUAGUCUUUUAAUUUGAGACUGGAAUGAAAGAGUAAACCGGGAGAAUUUUUUUUCAGUUGAGAAAAUGAAUUUUACUUUUUAGUAAGAAGGCUAAAAUUUAACUUUUAGACAAGAAGACCCUAUAAAACUUUAUAUUUUUAUUUCUUAGUUGAAAGAAGAAGUAUUUCGCUGGGGCGGUGGAGGAAAGCCCUUCCUUUAAAAAAAUAAACUUUCUUGUUUAAAUACCUAGAAAUUCUAAAUUAGAAAUAAGUUACUUUAGGGAUAACAGCUUAAUUUACUUAGAAAGAUCAAAUUGACAAGUAAGUUUAUGACCUCGAUGUUGAAUUAAAAGACCUUUUUUGUGCAMAAGCUAAAAA
rnacentral:rRNA from 1 species